rnacentral:misc_RNA from 1 species
AGUAUUUUUUUUUUUUUUUUACAUCAUAAGAUUUUACAUUUUCAAGACCACAAGAAUGUUCUAAGCUAGGUUCAUCAAGAGGCAAAUUUAUCCUGACAAAAUGCAAAUAGCAGAACAUGUCAAUACUCAACGGCAACCCAACGACUUGACACAUUCUCUGCAUCUGUUGAAAUUGCGAAAGGCAUAAAAGCUCUAGUGAUCUUGUGAAUGAGAACAACAAAGAGAAUAGCAUGAAAAUGAUCACACCAGCUAAAUUGCAAAAUCGCCUCAAGCAAGGUACCAAAGAAAAUAAAUAACUUUUCAGCUAGCUUGUGUUGAAAUCAUCCUCGCUACUAACACAAAAUUUAGUAGGAUGAUGCACACUCUUCUACC